AUUGAACGCUGGCGGCAUGCUUUACACAUGCAAGUCGAACGGCAGCGCGGGCUUCGGCCUGGCGGCGAGUGGCGAACGGGUGAGUAAUACAUCGGAACGUGCCCAGUAGCGGGGGAUUGCUCGGCGAAAGCCGGAUUAAUACCGCAUACGACCUGAGGGUGAAAGCGGGGGAUCUUCGGACCUCGCGCUAUUGGAGCGGCCGAUGGCAGAUUAGCUAGUUGGUGGGGUAAAGGCCUACCAAGGCGACGAUCUGUAGCUGGUCUGAGAGGACGACCAGCCACACUGGAACUGAGACACGGCCCAGACGCCUGCGGGAGGCAGCAGUGGGGAAUUUUGGACAAUGGGCGAAAGCCUGAUCCAGCAAUGCCGCGUGUGUGAUGAAGGCCUUCGGGUUGUAAAGCACUUUUGGCGGGAACGAAAAGGACUGUGCCAAUACCACGGUUCGAUGACGGUACCCGCAGAAUAAGCACCGGCUAACUACGUG
rnacentral:rRNA from 1 species